UGGGGAAUAUUGCACAAUGGGCGGAAGCCUGAUGCAGCAACGCCGCGUGCGGGAUGACGGCCUUCGGGUUGUAAACCGCUUUCGCCUGUGACGAAGCGUGAGUGACGGUAAUGGGUAAAGAAGCACCGGCUAACUACGUGCCAGCAGCCGCGGUGGUACGUAGGGUGCGAGCGUUGUCCGGAUUUAUUGGGCGUAAAGGGCUCGUAGGUGGUUGAUCGCGUCGGAAGUGUAAUCUUGGGGCUUAACCCUGAGCGUGCUUUCGAUACGGGUUGACUUGAGGAAGGUAGGGGAGAAUGGAAUUCCUGGUGGAGCGGUGGAAUGCGCAGAUAUCAGGAGGAACACCAGUGGCGAAGGCGGUUCUCUGGGCCUUUCCUGACGCUGAGGAGCGAAAGCGUGGGGAGCGAACAGGCUUAGAUACCCUGGUAGUCCACGCUGUAAACGGUGGGUACUAGGUGUGGGGGUCCAUUCCACGGGGUUCCGUGCCGUAGCUAACGCUUUAAGUACCCCGCCUGGGGAGUACGGCCGCAAGGCUU
rnacentral:rRNA from 1 species